GUUCAACAUUUCAAAACGUUUUUUAAAAUGAUUACAUCUAUUAGCUUCGCCUAUUGACAAUAACGAAGAUAUGGCCUUGAGAAAUAGAUGGAAAUAUAAGGGGAAAAGUUUGUUGCUAUUGUCUCGCCGGUAACGAUUUCCACACAUCAAAAAAUUAAUAAAUUUCAGUAACUAUUAAACUGAUAAUAACAAGAGACCAACAACAAUUUAGACAUUAAUAGCAUGAUCGUCAUUUUGACAACGUCGAACGCGUUAAACCUUGAGUGUUGCAUUGUAACAGGAAGAGACACCGAUCGAAACGCCAACUGUGAAUCAUUUGCCGGAAAUAUUAGACCCAUGACGCGAAUAAUUCCUCGUUCAUAGGUCUCAAUGAAACUCGCAAUUUAGGUUUUGCAUUUUAUCAAUAAAUGCAUCUUAACUCCAAAACGGUUUGAAGAAAAUUGGCCCUAAUUGAACGUAUUGGUUCUUAGGGGCCCUUAAAUCCAAUGAACGCGGCUUUGUGAAUCCUAGAGGAACGCAAUUUUCAAAGUAUCGACCCUCCCAUUGCUACUGUGUAUAUUUAUUCCCGGGAAUAUAUUCCAACGGGAUCGGUCGUUUUAAAUGGGAUCUCGUUAUUCGACAGGGUUCGGGAGGAUCUCGACUUUGCUAUCUGCGGAGAAAGAAAAACGACCUCAAGUUGUAAUGUAUCUUUUUUAUUUUUUAUUUUUUUCUUCGAAUUUGUUUCACUACGUUUAUUAAGACAAAAAACAUGGAAAUAAAAGGAAAGAAGAUUAACCGGAACAAUGGGUUUAAUUUAUCUUGUCUGCAAACACAAAUAGAAUUGUCUGCGUGUGCGUUCAAUUCAGGUUAAUUUAAAUGGGAGUAUUAUAUUCUGGUAAUUUACGUCCUAGUCUAACACAAUGGAAAUGGUACUUAAGUAGCAAACUCGUCACAGAUGCACGAAUAAAUCAUACGUGCAACCAGAAUGGAUCGAUUCUAGGGAAAUUAGUUGACCAGAAUUGGCACAGUUGGGGAACGCUCGCCAGAUUUAACCCAGUGAAUGGGAGCGAUUUGUUAACUUCAACCGAUAAAUAACGAAUCCAAUUUUCUUUAGCAUACAAGGUAAUACCUUUUUUAGGUGUCUAAUCCCAUAAAAUAUGCAUCCAGAGAACACUGCAGUUACGCUUUGUUUCGCGAGAGGACAAAAUUGAAUCCCAUGGAGACGCUACACGGAAUUUCCGGCUUAUUUUCUUAAUCGAAUGACGGAAGCGGGGCCGCGUUAUUUGAUUAGAACCAGCCUGGCCGCAAUAAUUCAAUCAAGAGCCUCUUAAUUUCUACCCAAACCGCCAACGACGUCCGCAAGUAUAGUAGUUAGUUAAAAUUGCUUCAAAUACCCGCUUCGUUAAUAACGAAAAUUGAAUCGCCGCUUGCUUCCUUUUAUCAAUAAAA